UCCGUAGGCGGUGCGGCAAGUCGGAAGUGAAAUCUCCGGGCUUAACCCGGAGGCUGCUCCCGAAACUGCCGUGCUAGAGGAUGAGAGAGGCAAGUGGAAUUGCGGGUGUAGCGGUGAAAUGCGUAGAUAUCCGCAGGAACAUCCGAGGCGAAAGCGGCUUGCUGGAUCAUUUCUGACGCUGAGGGACGAAAGCUAGGGGAGCAAACA
rnacentral:rRNA from 1 species